CAUGAGUGUGCCCUUGGACCCUGAACAUCUCACCGUGCGGCUGAAUUAAACAUCUGUGGAUAUUAUGCAAAGGCCCUUUUUGCUUCCUUACCCUGGAUUUUACUAGCAGCAAUUCUGGCUGCAACAAUUACCAGGGAGGCGGCGGGGGACCCAAGACCUCAGAGGAACUGAACCAACACGAGAAAGGACAUUAAAAUCCACCAACUUCAGCUGCUGCAAGGAGAAGACCCAUGCCAGAAAUCCAAUAGGUUCCCAGAUGCUGCGUGAACUCUUUUCUCCCUGCUUCCAAAGACAAAGAAGGGCAGCUGCCAUCUUUGCCUCUCGGCCACACGGCAAGAUGGGGGUAGGGUGUAAGGUUCAAUUUUUUUUCCCUGUGCUUUGAGGGUAUCUUGCUUUGUUAAUAAACAGUUUUACUUUUUUUCACAUCCA